UUGGUUAAGUUAGAAAGGGCGCACGGUGGAUGCCUUGGCACUAGGAGCCGAAGAAGGACGGGACUAACACCGAUAUGCUUUGGGGAGCUGUACGUAAGCGUUGAUCCAGAGAUUUCCGAAUGGGGGAACCCACUAUCUUUAGUCGGAUAGUAUCCUUACGUGAAUACAUAGCGUGAGGAAGGCAGACCCAGGGAACUGAAACAUCUAAGUACCUGGAGGAAGAGAAAGAAAAAUCGAUUUCCUGAGUAGCGGCGAGCGAAACGGAAAGAGCCCAAACCAAGAAGCUUGCUUCUUGGGGUUGUAGGACACUCUAUACGGAGUUACAAAAGAAAGUUAUAAAUGAAGCGGUCUGGAAAGGCCCGCCAAAGACGGUAACAGCCCGGUAGUUGAAAUGGCUUUCCCUCCAGAGUGGAUCCUGAGUACGGCGGAACACGUGAAAUUCCGUCGGAAUCCGGGAGGACCAUCUCCCAAGGCUAAAUACUCCCUAGUGACCGAUAGUGAACCAGUACCGUGAGGGAAAGGUGAAAAGCACCCCGGAAGGGGAGUGAAACAGUUCCUGAAACCGUGUGCCUACAAGUAGUUAGAGCCCGUUAAUGGGUGAUAGCGUGCCUUUUGUAGAAUGAACCGGCGAGUUACGAUUUGUUGCAAGGUUAAGCGGAAAAAGCGGAGCCGUAGCGAAAGCGAGUCUGAAUAGGGCGCAUAAGUAACAGGUCGUAGACCCGAAACCAGGUGAUCUACCCAUGUCCAGGAUGAAGGUAAGGUAAUACUUACUGGAGGUCCGAACCCACGCACGUUGAAAAGUGCGGGGAUGAGGUGUGGGUAGCGGAGAAAUUCCAAUCGAACUUGGAGAUAGCUGGUUCUCUCCGAAAUAGCUUUAGGGCUAGCCUCGAGGUAAAGAGUCAUGGAGGUAG
rnacentral:rRNA from 1 species